rnacentral:rRNA from 1 species
CAAUAGCGUAUAUUAAAGUUGUUGCAGUUAAAAAGCUCGUAGUUGGAUUUCUGGUGGGAGCGAUCGGUCUGGCGCUUAGCGCGAGUACUUGCAUCGUCUCCGGCCAUCCUUGGGGAGAGUCUGUCUGGCCUUAGGUUGUCGGGCAGAGGAUCCUCAUCGUUUACUGUGAAAAAAUUAGAGUGUUCAAAGCAGGCUUAUGCCGUUGAAUAUAUUAGCAUGGAAUAAUAAGAUAGGACUUUGGUACUAUUUUGUUGGUUUGCGCACCAAAGUAAUGAUUAAUAGGGACAGUUGGGGGUAUUCGUAUUCCGUUGUCAGAGGUGAAAUUCUUGGAUUUACGGAAGACGAACUACUGCGAAAGCAUUUACCAAGGAUGUUUUCAUUAA